rnacentral:rRNA from 1 species
UACACUCCUGCGGGAGGCAGCAGUGGGGAAUAUUGGACAAUGGGCGCAAGCCUGAUCCAGCCAUGCCGCGUGAGUGAUGAAGGCCCUAGGGUUGUAAAGCUCUUUCACCGGUGAAGAUAAUGACGGUAACCGGAGAAGAAGCCCCGGCUAACUUCGUGCCAGCAGCCGCGGUAAUACGAAGGGGGCUAGCGUUGUUCGGAUUUACUGGGCGUAAAGCGCACGUAGGCGGACUAUUAAGUCAGGGGUGAAAUCCCGGGGCUCAACCCCGGAACUGCCUUUGAUACUGGUAGUCUUGAGUUCGAGAGAGGUGAGUGGAAUUCCGAGUGUAGAGGUGAAAUUCGUAGAUAUUCGGAGGAACUCCAGUGGCGAAGGCGGCUCACUGGCUCGAUACUGACGCUGAGGUGCGAAAGCGUGGGGAGCAAACAGGAUUAGAAACCCCUGUAGUCCCAU